rnacentral:tRNA from 1 species
GAAACUUAGGAUAACCCCUAAACCGGAGGCCUUCAAAGCCUCAAACAAGAGUUAAACCCUCUUAGUUUCUGC